rnacentral:tRNA from 1 species
GCCCCUAUAGCUCAGUGGAUAGAGCAGCGGGUUUCUACCCCGCGUGUCCCGGGUUCGAAUCCUGGUGGGGGCA